GCGGCGGACCGAACCGCAUUGGGCAGGGCAUUGAAUUUGACUACUGCUGCUGCCACGCUUCGUAUGCGCUGCGCGCCGCCGGCUUCGAGACGAUCAUGGUCAACUCGAACCCAGAGAC
rnacentral:ribozyme from 1 species